rnacentral:rRNA from 1 species
AUGUCGGCGUCUCCCCCGCCGCCGGAGGAGGACGCCGUGCCUCUGGCCGUCGCCGUCGCCGGCAACGACAGGGUCCUCGCCGCGGCGCACCACAUCGUCAAGUCGCUCGCCACCUCCAAGAACGCCGCCGACGACAUGAUCCGCAUCCUCUCGGGCUUCGACUACCGCUUCUCCAACAUCACCUCCGACCUCUUCCACUCCACCUCGCCCUCUCGCUCCCGUUCCCCGUCCGACGCCGACGCCGACCCGGAGGCCCCCUCCCUGGCGGAUUUCGACGAAGCGGCGCGGCUCAUCCACCUCUGGGACACCACCCCGGAGGCGCUCGUCUUCGAGGCGCCCGAGGACGACGCCGCCAACUACCUCGCCGCGGUCGACGUCGCCGUCGACCACCUCGCCGCCGGGGGCGCCGCCGCCGCCUCGGGCCGCGCGGGCGUCGCCGUGCAGCUCGCCAUGGCGCGCCUCGAGGACGAGCUCCGCCACCUCAUGCUCCACCACGCCGUGCCGCUCGACGCCAGCGGCCUCUACUGCUCGCUCCGCCGCCUCUCGCUCGAGUCCAUGGACGACCUCGACACCUCCUCCGAGUUCGACCCCACCACCCCGCACAGCCAGGAGGGCGCGCCAGAUACCGCCCGCAGCGCCAGUCUCGUGGGGAACCCCUUCGACGACCAGCUGUUCGACCUGGUGCGGCCUGACGCUGUUGAUGAGCUGCGCGCCAUUGCUGAGCGGAUGGGGCGCGCUGGCUAUGCAAGUGAGCUCGUGCAGGUUUACUGUGGCAUCCGCCGGGACCUGCUUGAUGAGUGCCUCACAGUUCUGGGGGUCGAGCGUCUCAGCAUCGAUGAGGUUCAGCGUGUGGAGUGGAAGCAGCUGAAUGACAAGAUGAAGAAAUGGGUGCAUGGCGUCAAGACGGUUGUCCGCUCCCUGCUGACAGGCGAGCGCCGGCUCUGUGAUCAGGUGCUCGCAGUGUCCGAUGAGCUGCGGGACGAGUGCUUUGUUGAAUCCACCAAGGUUUGCAUAAUGCAGAUUCUUAACUUUGGGGAUGCUGUGGCUGUGUGCCCUCGUUCGCCCGAGAAGGUGUCCCGGAUUCUUGAUAUGUAUGAGGCACUUGCUGAGGUAAUUCCUGAGCUCAAGGAACUGUACUAUGGGACUCCUGGGGAUGAUGUGAUCUGUGAUUUGGAGGGGGUCCUUGGGAGGCUUGGGGAUGCAGUCAAGGGUAACCUUCUUGAGUUUGGGAAGGUUCUACAGCAGGAGUCGUCACGCCGGCCUAUGAUGGCUGGUGAGAUCCACCCAAUCACACGUUAUGUGAUGAACUAUCUUAGGCUGUUGGUCGUUUACAGUGAUACGCUUGACAAACUCUUGGAUGAGGAUGCUGCCGGAGAUGCUGAUCAUAAUGCUUCAAAUGGAGGUGCUGAUGAUGACGAGGAGUAUCUGCAGAGCUUGACCCCACUUGGACAUCGGUUGGUGAAGCUCAUGUCUUACUUGGAGGCCAAUUUGGAGGAAAAAUCUAAACUGUACGAGGACGGUGCACUCCAGUGUAUAUUUUCCAUGAAUAAUACACUUUAUAUUGUCCAAAAGGUGAAGGAUUCCGAGCUCAGGAGGAUUUUAGGUGAUCAUUGGACACGGAGGCGCCGUGGAAAGAUUCGGCAAAAUUCCAAGAGCUACCUUAGGAUAUCGUGGACAAAGGUUUUGUCCUAUCUCAAGGAUGAUGGUCAUGGCAGUGGGAGUGUAAGUCUUGGGAAUUCAAGCUCGAGGGUCAAAGAGAAAUUUAAGAACUUCAACUUUGCCUUUGAUGAGAUUUACAGGAGUCAAACGCUUUGGAAGGUACCGGAUCCUCAACUCCGUGAAGAGCUCAAGAUAUCUAUAUCUGAAAAUGUGAUUCCAGCAUAUCGUGCUUUUCUGGGUAGAUAUGGUAGUCUAGUGGAUAAUGGAAGAAGUUCUGGUAAAUACAUAAAGUACACCCCAGAGGACUUGGAAAAUCAACUGUCUGAUCUUUUCGAAGGCUCACUAGGGUCUGCCAACCAUUCCAGAAGAAGGUUAUAG